rnacentral:rRNA from 1 species
GACGAACGCUGGCGGCGUGCCUAAUACAUGCAAGUAGAACGCUGAAGGAGGAGCUUGCUUCUCUGGAUGAGUUGCGAACGGGUGAGUAACGCGUAGGUAACCUGCCUGGUAGCGGGGGAUAACUAUUGGAAACGAUAGCUAAUACCGCAUAAGAGUAGAUGUUGCAUGACAUUUGCUUAAAAGGUGCAAUUGCAUCACUACCAGAUGGACCUGCGUUGUAUUAGCUAGUUGGUGAGGUAACGGCUCACCAAGGCGACGAUACAUAGCCGACCUGAGAGGGUGAUCGGCCACACUGGGACUGAGACACGGCCCAGACUCCUACGGGAGGCAGCAGUAGGGAAUCCUCGGCAAUGGACGGAAGUCUGACCGAGCAACGCCGCGUGAGUGAAGAAGGGUUUCGGAUCGUAAAGCUCUGUUGUAAGAGAAGAACGAGUGUGAGAGUGGAAAGUUCACACUGUGACGGUAUCUUACCAGAAAGGGACGGCUAACUACGUG